rnacentral:rRNA from 1 species
CCCUUAGAUGAUUUGGGCUGCACGCGCGCUACACUGACCCUAACAAUGAGCAACUGUCUGGCCUGAGAUGGCUGGGUAGCCUUUUCAACCCAUGUCAUGAUUGGGCUAGAUUUUUGUAAGUCUUGAUCUCUAACGAGGAAUCCCUAGUAUGUGUGAAUCAUCAAUCCAUGCAGAUUAUGUCCCUGCCCUUUGUACACACCGCCCGUCGCUCCUACUGAUUGGGUGAUCCGGUGAGCUGUUCGGCCAUAGCAAUGUUUCUUGAGCAGGGCAAAGAAUGUUUCGCAAACCUUGCCACUUAGAGGAAGGAGAAGUCGUAACA